rnacentral:rRNA from 1 species
UGCAAGUCGAACGGUAGCAGAAAGAAGCUUGCUUCUUUGCUGACGAGUGGCGCACGGGUGAGUAAUGCAUAGGUAAUGUGCCCCUUGGACCGGGAUAGCCACUGGAAACGGUGAUUAAUACCGGAUACUCCUACUGAUUGAUUUUCAGUAGGGAAAUGUUUUUUCGCCAAGGGAUCAGCCUAUGUCCUAUCAGCUUGUUGGUGAGGUAAGAGCUCACCAAGGCGAUGACGGGUAGCUGGUUUGAGAGGACGAUCAGCCACACUGGUACUGAGACACGGACCAGACUCCUACGGGAGGCAGCAGUGAGGAAUAUUGCACAAUGGGGGCAACCCUGAUGCAGCAACGCCGCGUGGAGGAUGACGCAUUUCGGUGUGUAAACUCCUUUUAUCAGAGAAGAACCAUGACGGUAUCUGAUGAAUAAGCUCCGGCUAACUCCGUGCCAGCAGCCGCGGUAAUACGGAGGGAGCAAGCGUUAUUCGGAAUCACUGGGCGUAAAGGACGCGUAGGCCGGUCUGUAAGUCAGGUGUGAAAUCCAAUGGCUCAACCAUUGAAUUGCACUUGAAACUGCGGACCUAGAGUAUGGAAGGGGCAGAUGGAAUUAGUGGUGUAGGGGGUAAAAUCCGUAGAUAUCACUAGGAACACCGAAAGCGAAGGCGAUCUGCUGGGACAUUACUGACGCUGA